UUUGAGCAAAGAAAGGAUGCCAUUUUCUCUUCUUCUUGGAUAAAAUAGCGUGAUUUUUUUUCUGGACAGCAUAUAAAAAAUGGCACGCACACAUACACACAUAGAAUAAAGGGAGAUUAAGAGAGACAGAAAUCGAGAGAAGGAGGGAGAGAGAAUCGAAAAAAAAGGGGGAGGGUUACAGCUCCGGCGAGUUUCGCCUGAGAGCCGUCGGAGUUCGAUCCCGUUCGUUGGAUAUUGUUGCUGCCUGAGUUCUCCGGAUCGCCAUUGACACUACAAUAACAAAUCCGCUCCAAUCUGAACAAACCCAAAUGGAGCAGUAAUUGGGUGCACGAAUUGGUACGGGUCUCUCGUUGUUUCUAGAUUUUUGUUUUAGGUUGACGAAAACAGAGUGCGGGGUGAGAUUCGGGAAUCUGAUUUUGAUAUUCGAGGUCGAGAUCUGAUUUGGAGUUCGUGUUGAGGUUCCGAUGCGGAUUUCAUUUCGUUUAAUUGAAUAACAUUUGAAAGCGGCAUUGAGGUUCAAUUCUUUCUUCUCUUCCUCUUAAUUCUUAUGUGAUUAUGAACUUGAUUUGAUUGCGUGAAUCAUUGGUGAUUAUGAUUGUUGGAUUUUGUUGAUGUUGUGAUCAUGUGCUUGACAAUGUAAUUUCGGCGAUAUGUGGUGCGAAUUUGAGUAUUGUUGAUGGUGUGAUUGAUAAAAAUGAAGCUAGAUGGGGUGAAAUUAACAAAUUGACAAAAUGGGUGAAUAUAGAUCAAUUUUGAUUUAUUGCCAUUUGGUUUAAUUCAGAAUAAGCAUGAAUGUGGUUGAAUCCGAUAGUGCCAUGUUGUAGGUCGAGAAGGAAUAGGCAAGCUGUUGUAGGUCGAGAAGGAAUAGGCAAGCCGUAGGUCGGGUAGGCAAAUCUAGAGAUUGUGGAUUGAUUGAAUGUUUGAGAUGUGUAUUGAGAUGAUUUUGUUUUAUCUUUAUUUGACUCAAUUGUACUCAUUUGGCCAGAGAAUGCCUCGAAGUAUCUGUAUUGUUUUAUUCGGGGAAUGCCUCGAGAAAGUUGUACUUGAAGAUGGUGCACGGUCAAGGUCCGAGGCGUCGGGUAAAGCAACGGAGUUUAGCCUAGGACUAGUUUAGAAUACGAUUUUUAUUUUUGCGUUUUCCUAUUUUGGUUUGUAAUAAUCGGAUUGGACAUUUUGAUUUUGGAUUUGUUUUUUGUUGUUGAUUUGAUUGAUUGUUUUGUGUGUUUUAUGUGGCUUAUACAUUUGUAGUGUUAAAAUUAGCUGAUACUCUCCGCCAAGCGAUCGUGGUCAAACCACGGGAUCGAGGGGUGCCUAACACUUUCUCCUCGGUCAACAGAAUUCCUUAGCCGAAAUCUCUGUUCGUAGACCAGUCAUAAAGAGUCAAAUGGUUUUGAAAAGGAUUUUCCAAUGAUGACUUGGCACACCAGAUUAUGCCAAGUGGCGACUCUGAAUAGAAAAUAUAAAUAAUCAUUUUUCGAAACGAAUUUUCAUCAUUUGUCACUUUAAUCAAUAAAAUCCUUUCGAAUCUUAAAAUCCAAUCUUUUUGGUUGCAAAAAAAGGGUGUGACAGCUCUAGCGACUCUGCUGGGGACCUUUCAGAAUUCGAGCUUAUUUUGGAGUUGUAUUGGCUUAAUUUGGCAUUAUGGGUGUAUAAACAUUAUUUGUGUUAUUUUUUGUUAUUUAUUUUAUCAUUGUUGAGUGCCUACGUGCUACGUGUUUACAGUUUUUCUUUAUGUGUUACCGCUUUAUAUCUGGCAUAAUUUACAUAACCCGAGUCAAUUCUUUCUGCAACAAGUCCCGGAGUGCACGUCAUACGCAUGAACUCUAGUUGAGUCACCUUUAUUUUUAGGGGGGGAGCCGUUUGAUGUAUGGAGUAGGUGGAAAGCAAAGCAGCCACUAUCGAUCAUAUGCUCCCCCAAACUGCUUUGUUAGUAAACCACAACGUAGGUUAGCCUUUAGGUCAUUCUUAUGUGCAUCAUAUUGAAGACCUAGCGGGGCCCAUUUGGCCCUUUGUAGGAAACUCGCCUCUAAAGCAUCUCUACGUGCUAAAUGUUGCAUCUUUGAGGGUAAUAUGGUCAUUUGAUGGACUUAUUUAGGGAAAGCAUAUGUUAGAAGUAAAAUAUGUAGUUAAGAAACCGUUUAAAAAAAAAAAGAGUUUAGUAGCUUUUAGUGUUCUUUAUGGUUUUUGUUUUUUUCACAAUUCAAAAAUUCAAAAAGAUUUCUUUAUUUUCUGCACUCAUUUGUUCAAAAACCAAAACACCAAAAAGAUUUCUCACUUUGUCUCCUUUAGCAUGCAUUCAUGAUACGAAAUUUUCAAAAAAGAUUUUUUUACAAUAGAAGGUUUUUAUAAAGGAAAAUGCAAAAAAAAAUAAAAAAAAAUGCUAGAAGUUUUGUACAUUUCAUAUAACGAAAAUAUCAAAAGAUUUUCCUUUAAUAUUUGUUGGUGUCACUUUUAGGUUAAGUGUCAAAUUGAAAACUCAAAAAGAUUUUAUUUAUGUUUUUCAUCUUUUGUUUGUGGUCGCGUCUCUCAAGUUAGGGUACAGUCGGUUAUUUAAUCAUUUAUUGUCCUAUAUGGACGAACUACGCACCCCUGAUUCUCCUCUCUCGGGAGUGAGAUACGUAGGCAUCCUAUUGUUGGUUCGGGGAUCUUAUUUCAAAAAUUCAAAAAGAUUUUCUUCACUCUUCAUUUAGAGUAGGUAUUUUAUAUACAUCUUUAAAAGAAAACUACAAAAGAUUUUCUUUUAAUAGGUUCAAGUUUCAUUUUCGUAUGAAAUGCAAAAUUGAAAACCCAGAAAGAGUUUCUUUGUUAAUCAUAGGUUUCAUUUUGUAUAGGUUAUUAAAGCGGAAAAAUUCAAAAAGAUUUUCGUCUAUUCUUUUGACAAUUUGUUUUUUUUCUUCUUAGAAUUUCAAGAAAAAGAAAAGAAAAAGAAAAAGAGUUUAUUUGGCCAUUUUGGCAAGACUUCACGAACUACACACACUUGAUUCUCCUCUCUCGGGGGUGAGAUACGUAGGUGCCCUUCUUGGGUUCGGUGAUAUUUAAAAAAAAAAGGUUUUGAAAAAUUUGUUGAACUCUAACGCAUUUGCUAUCUCUUGUUCAGUUAGUUUAAGGUGGUUGAUUUGUGGCAUUUUGGCUGGUCCUCCAUAUUGCACUAAGUCACCGAGAAAGUUAUGGCCAACAAGGAUAUCGAGUUUGUUGUCACUAAUCAGAUAGGGAGUUCGGAAAAUGAGAAUUUAGGAGCUAAUGAAGAGAUUUGGAAAUUAAGGCAACAAAUGAUAGAAAUGCAUCGAGCUUAGGCUAAUUGGUUGCUGUCUCCUCCAGUUUUCACUGAUAAUCUGAAAUAUCUUUCUAUCUUACCUCCCAUGUCACAUGUAAAUUUUCCUAUUUUGGUUGACACGCCACAACAUGCAUCAGGACCAACUCCGGGGCAACAGUAUCCAAACACUUUCAAUAUUCAUUUCCUCACUCCCCAAUCCAAGACUACCACAUACUCAGCUCCACCUGUUGUUUAUGUUUUUACGGCGCCACCCCCACAUGAAGCUCCUACUUUUGAUGUUCAUUCACAAGUUGUGUCUCCUUACUCUAUAAGAGAGACUGCAUUGAAUAUUAUUGGUGAUCAACGUUACACUUUUGAGCCUACAUAUAAGUUGACUGGUCUUUACGGUAACAUUCAGCCGCCUGAAUUUCCUUCUAUCACUGAGAAGCCUGUUAUGACAGAAGAACAAGAGGAAAUGACCAGAAAAUUAAGAAGUUUGGAACUGACUAUGAAGAACUUGCAAGGACUUGGGGGUUACAAAAGUGUCUCAUAUAAAGACUUAUGCAUUUUUCCAGGUAUCAACCUUCCUCCUGGCAUUUUUUCCUCCUGGCUUUAAAAUGCCAAUGUUUGAGAAAUAUGAUGGACAUGGGGACCCAGUGGCACAUUUGAGGCGUUAUUGUAACCAAUUAAGAUGCACUGGAGAGAAGGAAGAACUACUUAUGGCUUAUUUCGGGGAGGUUCUUUCAGGCUUAGCUUUGAAAUGUUUUGUUGACCAAGACAUUGACAAGUGGAUUAGUUGGGAUGACCCAGCUAAUGAAUUUGUGUAACAAUUUCAAUACAAUGUGGAGUUGAUCCCUGAUGAAAAAUCCCUAACUAGUAUAAAAAAGAAGAAUACUGAGAGUUUCAGCGAGUAUGCGAUCAGAUGGCGCGAACAAGCUGCUAGAGUAAAACUGCCAAUAAAGGAAAGCAAAAUAGUGGAGGUAUUUAUUCAAGCGCAGGAUGAAACAUAUUAUCAACACUUGCUACCUACAUUAGGCAAGCUAUUCAUUGAGGUCCUUAAAAUGGGGGAGAUGAUAGAAGAGGGAAUUAAGACUGGUCGUAUUGUGAGUUUUGCAACAUUAAAAGUGUACUCAAGCAAUUCAAAAGGGGUCAAAAAGUGUUGGGAAGAAAAAGAAUGAGGAAGAUGCAUCUUCUAUUGUAGUUGAACAGCAGGAAAGGUCAAGAAGACCCUGUCGUCGUCACUCUCAAGCUCAAACCCAAGUUCAUGCCCAAGCUUUAUAUAAUCGCACCCAAAAUCGAUUAUACUCUGUUUCUUCAUAUCCAUAUCCGGUGUAUAAUGCACAACCACAUGUUCAACCCCCAUCUUACCUACAAUGGCAUACCCCAAUGCCCCAGAGUCAUCCUUUAAAUCCACAAACAUACCAAAGCCCUUCUAGGCCAGAUUUGCUAUCCAAGCCAAACAAUUAAAUGAGGCAGAAGUCAAUAGAUAGCUUCACACCAAUUGGAGAGUCGUAUGCCAGUUUAUUUCAGAGACUGGUAUAGUAGGGCAUGAUCACUCCUCUCCUUGGGCACACUCUUAAUCGACGUUCAAGAAAUUUUGAUCCAAACGCACGAUGUGUGUAUCAUUCGGAUGCUCAGGGUUAGAGUAUUGAAGAUUGUCGAGAUUUAAAAUGAGAAAUUGAAAAGAUGAUUCAAGAUGGAUCAAUUAUGGUGAAGAACAUUGACAUUGGGGGAGGCUCUAGUCAUGCUGAUAUGCAAACCAGUGGCUAAGUUGUCAGGCUGAGCAAUUGAGAAGUCACCCCUCUCAUCAUUAGGAAGAGGUCUGGUAGUUUGUUUUGUUUUGUUUUAUUUUUUGUUAUUCGAAUUAUUUCAGGGUUGUAGUUCGGGAUCUAUCUUAUUUUGUCCAUUUUUUUCGUUAUGUUCAAACCCUUCUAUCUUUUAUUUUAAUUAAAUAGAGUGUCCCUUUUUCCUUUGUAUUUUAAAUAUGUGUUUCUUUGUUUUCUUUCCACAGUACAUUUUAUGUUGACUUUAGUGAUAUGACAUGCUCACGGAAUUUUCAGCUAGAUCUUAAAAUUUCAGUUUAAGCAUGAGCAUUGAAUCAGAGAGUUAAAGUUAGGAAAAGAGAGCAUUUGAGAAAAUAGGUAGAGUGCUGAGACAUUUGGUGAUCAAGUUGAAGUCUUCUUUGAAAAUUAAGACAUUUUUUUUGAGAAUCACAAGGAUAACUUGGUCAUCAAUAUAAGGCAUAUCCCAAUUAGGUCAAACAAAAAAAGUGUGAUCCUAUAUUAAAAGAAACGGGAAGAAAAUUAUCUCUACCAAAAUCAUGAGUCAUUCAAUGCUGAGGGAUGUACAACAAUGGUGGAGUCGUAUGUUUGACAAGUGUAGAAGAAAGAAGUGGCAUACAUGCUCGGGGCAAGUCAGCGUUGUAAAGCAUUUCAUAAGUGAUCUUGAUCGUGCACUUUCGCAUUACAUGCUAUGUGUUUUGCGAAAAAAUUUUGACUUUUGAGAGUCACCACUUAAUUUUGAAAAGGAAUUAGGAAACCUUUAUAAAAUACUUAAAAACGAUCCAAAAUAGAAAAUCGUUUUAAGUUAGAGAUUCCGAGUAAGUAGUUCUAUUAACGUUUUAGGAAGGUAUUAGGCACCUAAAACGUCCGCUAACUUGCGGUUAUCCAGACUAUUUGAAAACAUCUUUUGACUAAUUUCAGAAAAAGAUUAAUUUGUCGAAAGUGACUGGUUUUAGAAAAUGAUUUGUGUAAAAUAGAUUUUGGCAACUUAUUAGGGAUUUUAAACUAAGUCUAAACAAAAUGAAUAAGCAAGUAAACACAUAAAAAAGAAAAAUGGAGGAGAAAGUAAGCGAUUUAGGCAAUCGAGCCCAAAUCAACGAAACCUAUCCUAAUCUAGUUGGGCUUUCGACCCAUUUUCACCUGUCCUAAUCUAGUUUUUGAGCGUUUGGCUUGAGUCCCACUUCACCUGUAUUAAAUACAACUUUGGCUUCGAGGCCCCAAAUAAAUGAAUAAGUAAAUGAUUAAAUGAAUAAAUAAGAAGAAGACAAUAAUAAAAAUCAAGACUUUUCAAGUCUCUUAGCGACCUCAUAAAUGGGUUUUGACCCAUUUUCCUUCUUCGUCUAUCUUCUAGCACCCGUACGCCAUGUAGUGGACCUUGGGUUUAAACUUCGAACUUGACUCGAAGGGGUGAACAUCAUUUACCCAUUAUGAAAUGCAAGAGGAGAGGAGUCCAUUUGAACUCGAGAUAUUUUUUACAUGCAAAGAAAAGGUAAAAAAAUUAAUAUAUGUUCAAGGCAUAAAAGUGACAUAUUUUAAAGUAAAAGAAGCUAUCAAGAACCAAUUUUUGAAUGACAAGAAUGAGAGUCAACAAAUAAAAAAUGCAAAGCAAAGACACUCCUUUACAUGCCUCAUGAUUUAUGUUCAUAUUAAGAAUGAAUAAAGGUAAAAGGAAGAAGGCCAUAUUCAAUGAAUUAAUGCGAGAAACAAACAACUAAGCUUGCGAAAUUAAAGGGAUGAGGCAACAAGAAAAAAACUCAAGAUUUCUAGAAUUGACCAAACAUAGACACCAAUCCAUACAACAAAAGAAAAUAAAGGCUAACUUUUCAAUAAAGAGAAUCUUUAAAUUUCAAUUAAGGCGACAUUAACGAAAAUUCAUACAUAUAAAUUACAACCAACAACUUAUUGAAAAACGUGUAACGACCUAUGAUUUUUAUUUCUAAGAAAUCGUUGAUUCUCUUUUGAUAUUAUGAAUAAAAGAGAGACAUGAAUCAAAUCUUUACACUCACAAAGAACACAUAUAACAAUCCAAAGGGAUUAAGAAAAUUAGAAUAAAAGUUUAGAAUUUCCAAAAUUGAAAUAUCAUUUCACAAUCAUACUAUGCAUGACUCGGAAAAAUAUUUAAAUAAUUCUAUUUAGCCACAAAAAUUUGAACUUUCUCAUCAUUUUGACAAAUUUAAAAAACAUGCGAAAAAAAGAGAUGAAUAAACAUCGUGGAUGGAGAAUAAAGCUAGCACUUCAUCUCUUAUAUGAAGAUUUUUGAGAUUCCUUAAAAUAAUUAACAAGCAAAUGACAAAUUCUUGAUUCAAUCAAUUACUAUUUUUAUUAAGGUGAAACAAAUAAUAAUAACUAUUCUUCCAACAUAAAAUAAACUACUUUACACGCUAAAACAAAUAUAUCCAUUAACAAUGAGUUUAAACAAGACAUAAGUAUUGUUUUUCAAGUAAAGAUCUAAACUUUAUCCAAAAUAAUAAAAAACUAAGGUCAAAAGGCAAAACAAUCAAUAUUAACGAUUCUUUUCAACAUAAAGAAAAAUACUUUACAUGCUAAAAACAAACAUAUCCGCCAACAAUGAAUUUAAACAAGAAAUGAGUAUGUUUUUCAAGCAAAGAUCUGAACUUUAUCCAAAAUAUUCAAACAAUAAAGUAAAAAAAGAAGAAACAAUCAAUAUUAUCUAUUCUUUUCAACACAAAGGAAACAAAUUUACAUGCUAAAAGCAAAACUUUACAUGCUAAAAACAAAUAUAUUAACCAACAAUGAGAUUAAACAAAGCAUAAGUACAUCUUUAAGCAAAGAUUGAAACUUUAUCUAUAAUAAUCAAAGAAUAAAGUCAAAAAAGGCACGUACAACUAUUGCUAGCUUAUUUUUAUAUCAUGAAUGUGAAAAUAAUUAAAAUAUCUCUAUCACAACGUCCUCCUUUAAGGCCAUCUAUAGCAAACAAAAUUAUAACUACGAAGAAAAAAAAAGAUGAAGAGAAAAAAAAGUUAUAAUAAAACUUAAAAAAAAAGGAAAGAUGUGUUUACCUUUUUGGGGGCAGCAAAAUGAGAUUACGAGCUUCGUCGAAAUCAACCACCACCGAAAAUCAUCGCCGGCAAUCUGAACUUUUUGAUUAGCCGAUCAACUCUAUGAAACAAAAUUUUUUACUAAAUAAAAACAACUAUUUUGCUAAAAAAAGGAUUUUUCACCUUUCUAGCCUUUUUUUUCUUACUUUUCCACCCUCCUUCUCUACCAAAGUAGUGGUAGUAUUUAUAGGAGAGAAUGAAGUGUUUUCUUCAUUUCUCCACCAAUGUGGGAGAAAAGUAUUUAUAGGGAAGGAUAGAGAUUUAUUUCUUGUCAACCAAUGUGGGAGAAAAAGCAUUUAGGGGUGCUUUUUGAAUGUAAAAGUUGAAGAUAAAGUGAGGUGGAAGAUAAUGUGGGGGGAAAUAGUAUAAUGUAGUACAAUCUUUGAAUUUUAAAAUUGGGAAAGGAAAAAGUUGGGAGGAAUUGUACAAUGUAGUACAAUUUGAAUUUAUUUUUUGGUGGGAAAUAGGUAGAAGUUAUGAGAGUUCUUGAAAAUUUUGGGGUUAUUUAAAAUAUAACCCCAAUUGGGAUUUAAAAUUUAGCCAUAUUUAUUUAUUUUGACCAAAUUAAAAUCAAUGGACGAAUUACGUUGCAAUUAUGACUAAUUUGAUUUCAAUUAUGGCCAAAUCUAAUAGAUUGGCUAAAUUAAAUUGAAAUUCGAUACGAAUUAAUACUUCUUUUAAUUCCAAGCUUCUUAAUUUAAUAAAAUUAAUUGCAUAUUUAUCCAAAUAAAUUAUUUUUGAGAAUAAAUUAUAUUUAAAUCAAGAUUUUAAUCAUUUGAAUUUAUUUUCAAGAUGAGCCUUAAUUAAAAUUCGAUAUUUUGUAAAAUAAAUAUUUAAGUAACAAAUUAUAUAAUUUCGUAUAACUGAAUACGAUAGUAUGUAAUCACUACUUAAAAUGACAAAAUCACGUACGAAAAAUAGUUUAAAUAUUUUUUUUUUAUUUUGAUGAAAUAAAUAUUUUGAUUUUAUUAGAAACUGAAGAAUUCAGGAUUAAAUUUAGUUGUGGAGGGCAAAAAUUAGGUGUCAACAACUGCCCCCUCUCUUUGGGUAGGGUAGAUGUAAGUAACCCUCGGUAAAGGGAGGUUGACGUUCCUAAUUUUUGUCCGACCAUAAAUUCGAAUCUGAAAGAGGCUAAUUUUCGCACGAGUUUCAUGGAGUCAUGGCCGAACAUCGGUAUUAGGUUUCCUACAUAUAUCAGGUUAUAUGAGAAUUAAGGCCACUUGUAGUUCAUAAAGCUUGAUUUAAAGCACGAUUUUUCAAAAAAUUCACAAGUUAUCUCGAUUUUUGGAGUUUUUCAUAAAAUCAAAAAGCUGGGAAUAGAGGGAUUUAGGGGGAGGUUGGAAUGCAGUCGAGUUUUCUACAUAGAGCCCAGCCUACAUAUCCCUGAUACUCAGAAAAUCAGACUGCUUGUAGUUUGACUCUAUCGGUAGAAAAGAUAGUCUUCUAUUUUCAGACAAUCUUUGGAUCAAGAUGAGUGACAAGUUGAUCGAGUUGCGGAAAAGAGGCUUGUAACCUCUUAAUCAUGAAUGUGGGAUCCUUUACACCCAUAGACAAGAACUUACUCGGACAUAAUUUCCAAAACUCUAAGUAUGUUGUCACCCGAAUUUGAAAGAAAGAGAAGGUUACCCUCAGUAUGAGUUAAGAAAAUAUCCCGAAGGUGAAGCUGAAACAAGAAUAUACCAAAAUGCCCAUAUGCCUUCUAAGGUGUGUGGUUAUACGGUGGUGGUGAUCAUCCUUUAGCUCGUGUCUAGAGAGUUUGACGUCACUCUCUAGACUAUGUCCCAUUUUUCUGCUAAGAAAGAGUUCCACAUUGUGCUGCGUCCUUUUUGGAGUCGUUCGCAUCUGUGGUUUUGAUUUGAGAUUUUCAUCCUCUUAGAUGCUCUUGACAAUAUCUCAAAUAAAAAUCAUUAGUAAUAAGCACAAUUUAUGAAAGAGGCGUAUAGUUUUUUUAUCAUAUCUUCGCAUGAGUUAUUGUCUAAAAAGCGAAGUCAUCCUUUCUUGUACCUGAUUGGCAGGAAAUAACUUGCAAUAAAAAAUACAACAACCUUCUUGGUUGUUGCAUAAUUAGCUCAUUUGUCGAGCGAAUAUGUCUUCAAAGUGGGGUGGCCCUUUGGGAUACCGACGACACUUUAUGCAGAACAGUUCCUACAAUCGUGUAAUCUUGUGCUGGUGUGGCAACCCUUUUGGUUACCUAUAUCACUUGUAUGUGGACCUCUUCGGUUAUAGCCGAUGAUCGAUUUAUAAAUUUCUCUUAAAUUGUCAAUCUUUGGAUAAUUUUACGCAUUAUUUGACGUUGGAUACGAGGCGACUUACAUAUAUCCUUUGAAUUGGUAGAUUUUAGGUAAUCCUGCACAUUAUCCGACCUUGGAUAAGAGAUGGCUUACAGAUAUCCCUCCAAUCGCUAGCUUUUAGGUUUUCCUGCACAUCAUCCAACCUUGGAUACAAUAUGACUUAUAGAUAUCUCUCAAAUUGUUAGUCCUUGGGUAAUCCUGCACAUAAUUGUUCUUGGAUAUGAUGCGUCUUAUAGAGAACCCUUGGACGUAUCAAUUUGAUAAUCUCACUUAUUCGCUGAUAAGGAUUUAGUUGCGACUUAUGAAUAACCUUUAGACUAUCGAAUUUUGGGAGAUCUUGCACACUAUCUGGUUAGGAUGUCGUCAUGGCUUAUGGAUGACCUACAGGAUAUCAACUCAUAGGUGAUCUUGCACACUAUCCUAUUUCAAAUAAUAUGACUUAUAGAUGACCCUCAAAUUGUCAAUUUCUAGGAAAUCUCAUAUAUUAUCCGUCUUUAGAUACCGGCUUAAAGACGUCCCUUCAAAUCGUGUGCUUGAUUCAUAAAAUGAUGAGAUAUCCUUGACGCCGGUGUUUAUGUCUUGCAUGUUAACAGAUAUUAAAUACUGAUGAUAUCCUCGAUGCCAGCGUUGUGUCUCACGUGUCAACAAAUAUAUUAAAUGCUGAUGAUAUCCUCGACGCCAGCGUUACAUCUCGUGUGUCAACAAAUAAUAAAUGCUGAUGAUAUCCUCGACGCCAGCAUUGUGUCUUGCGUGUUAACAGAUAUAUUGAAUGUUGAUGGUAUCCUCGACGCCAGCGUUGUGUCUCACGUGUCAAUAGAUAUAUUGAAUGUUGAUAAUAUCCUCGACACCAGCGUUACGUCUCGCGUGUCAACAGAUAAUAAAUGCUGAUGAUAUUCUCGACGCCAACAUUGUGUAUCGCGUGUCAACAGAUAUAUUGAAUGUUGAUGAUAUCCUCGACGCCAGCAUUAUGUCUCACGUGUCAACAUAUAUAUUGAAUGCUGAUGAUAUCCUCGAUGCCAGCAUUACAUCUCGUGUGUCAACAGAUAAUAUAUGCUGAUGCUAUCCUCGACGCUAGCGUUAUGUCUCACAUGUCAACAGAUAUAUGAAUAUCCUUCUUGGGCGAUGGUAUGAGAUGGACCUCUUGGCAAUGAUAUGCAAUGGCCCUUGCGGCAAUGAUAUGUGAUGACCCUUGUGGCAAUGAUAUGCAACGGCCCUUGCGGCAAUGAUAUGAUAUGGCCUUUCGGCAAUGAUAUGUAAUGGCCCUUGCAGCAAUGAUAUGUAAUGAACCUUACGGCAAUGAUAUGCAAUGACCCUCUUGGCAAUGAUAUGUAAUGGCCCUUGCGCCAAUGAUAUGCAAUGGCCCUUACGACAAUGAUAUGCAAUGGCCCUUUCGGCAAUGAUAUGCAAUGGACCUUGCGGCAAUGAUAUGUGAUGGCCCUUGUGGCAAUGAUAUGCAAUGGCCCUUGUGGCAAUGAUAUGCAAUGGCCCUUUCGGCAAUGAUAUGUAACGGCCCUUGAGGCAGUGAUAUGCAAUGGCCCUCUUGGCAAUGACAUGCAUUAUUUCUUUCGGUAAAUUAAACACAGUUUCACCUGAAAUCAUUUGUCAGGGUCUUGAUUUCUGCAUGUACCUGUACUAAAGGUAGACGAUUAGUAGACACAAAGUCGCUUUGCUAGCGACUGUUUUUUAGAGAAAUUCUAAAUACAAUAUUUGUAAAAAAGACAAGACACUUUUGUUUGUCCACCAUGAUCUCAAGAAAUGAAAUGGACACUUCAAAAGGUCUUCAAUGUAUGGGUACUAAACCCAUUUUUAGGGCUACCCAGAUACCAUUCUUGAGCAUUAGUGCUCUGGUGUGGCUCCCAAUUUGUUCGGGGAUUUUUGAAAGAGACUCUCAUUUUUGUGUAUUAGUCCCUGCACCCACAGAAAAUGAUUAGUUUGAGUGAAACUACUCCGUAUUGACCUUCUUUGAUUCUUGAUUUGCCCCUCGCCAUCUUUCAGGUAUUUCGUCAUGUUAGGACUUCCGCUCAUGACUCCCCGUCCAAAUUGAUGUCUAGGCAAUCACUAAGUAAAAGAUUUAUAUAGAUUUUUGAAAGUAGUCUUAAUUUUUAGAAGAUAGUUUCGAAAACUCCUGCAAAAAUCUAGAAAAUCUCUGCCAGUCAUGUCAUGUGCUAGCUCAACAACCAUCUUUCUCUUGAUUCUAACAAUAUUCGACAUUUGACGGAGGAUUGUUAGGGAUUCAGCAUUGUCGAGGCUCUCUAUCAGAAGUUUUAUUAAAGACGGGGAUUUAGUCUUCCUAGACUUUAUCACAGGUGGUGAUUCUCAAAUUUCAACUUCGACCUCUAGUGCUGGGGAAUUUAAAAGAUAUUCCAGUAUUUGAUUGAAAUUUUGAGGCCUCCCUCAAAAUUUCUGCCUCAGUUUGAAGUAAUCUGAGAUGAUAUCAUCUUGAGUGGAUCUAAAGUCUUUGCCGAUCUUCAUUCUCUUUGUUGGAUGUUGAUCUUCUCUUGUGAAUUUUUUAGAUUCCUUCUCGAAAAUUCUGCCCCAGUUUCCAUUUCUUGGGGUUAUAUGAUCGAGCCGUUGGGACGUCUACGUAUCCCGUUGAAGUAGGAAUCAGGUCAAACGUAGUUCAAGCUACUCUAGGGAUAUGUAUUGGAAAAUCUAAUGGAUUGACCGAAGCCGACAUAGGCCGCCUACGUAUCUCUCUUUGGGAAUUCAGGUCAAACGGAGUUCGUACAUAAAGGAAAUGAUAAAUUUUCCUAAGAGGUUGAACGAAUAAACAUAGAAUUCAGAUCCUCAUAAUCUUUUAUAAUAUUGUGCCAAUAUUGAAUCAAAGAUAUCGUUGAUGAUAUAUCAUUUUGUAUCGAUUCACAUUGUGACAUAACGAUCUCAUCGCUUCAUUAUUUUCAGAUACCUGAAUCUGUUAUAAGAAAGUCCUCGAUCACUUGACGACUUGAAUUUGAUUGUUUUCUUUGAGUUGUUUCUGUUGGUUAAUAAAUUCAAACCCUUUGUACUUUGUGAAUUUGAUUAAAUUGAUUUUCCUUUUGAAGAAUUCAAAUAUGGAUUAAAAAUCGAAUUAUAUUUGCAACGACUCCUUAUCCGACGAGUUCUUAAUGUGAACAAGCAACGAUCAAAAUGUUUGGCAAUUGGCGACCCAAGUAAAUCAAAACACAUUUCAUUCUAUAAUAAUACACGAACCAAAUAAUCUCAUAUAUUGAGAAAACAAGAAAAUCGGCGAAUAAAACAGAGAAAUGAAACUGCAUGAGUAGACUCCAAAAAGCAAGAUUCUUAGCCUAAGCAAGAUCCUUAGCCUAAUUAAACUGCAGAACUAUUGUCAGAUCACACCAAUAACAUAAAAUGGACACAGACCCAUAUGAAAUUUGCAUGAAUAUACGGUCUUUGUCUUGUCCACCAACUAAUAACAUCAACCCAUUUUACUUUAACGUAAUGAAAAGUUAAUGUUAUGUAAAAGUUAAUGUUAAGUCCACAUAUUAUAAAUAAUUCUAACUCAUAAAUCAAUUAUAUGUCCACUUACAAGUUCAACGUAACAAUGCAUCAACAAUAUUUAUGGCACAAAACAUUCUUUAUGAAAGCAUCAAUGUUGAUUUUAGAAGAUCCACUACUUGCAGUUGAACACUGACAUAUUUUUUGUAUUUCUUUUGCUCUUCGCCUCAUUUCCAUCACAUCCGCAUUUCCAAAAUCCAUAAACCAUUUCAACAGGUUAGAAAUCUCUUCCCUUGUUACCAAAAUUUGGUCAUGUUUUAUCACCCUAUAACCGAUCUUCCACUCAUUGACAAUUUGCUUACUGUUGAUUUGUUUAUCCCCCAAAAUAGGAAAAGUCAGCAUUGGAAGGCCUGAGAAUGCCGCUUUUUUAGUCGAAUUCCAUCCACAAUGCGACCAAAAUCCACCAAUUGAAGGAUGUGACUGUUGGGUUUAAUUGAUGUGAAUGGAAAAUGGAG
rnacentral:lncRNA from 1 species